AACAGCUCAAAUUUGAAAUCUGGCUCUUUCAGAGUCCGAGUUGUAAUUUGCAGAGGGCGCUUUGGCUUUGGCAGCGGUCCAAGUUCCUUGGAACAGGACGUCACAGAGGGUGAGAAUCCCGUACGUGGUCGCUAGCUAUUGCCGUGUAAAGCCCCUUCGACGAGUCGAGUUGUUUGGGAAUGCAGCUCUAAAUGGGAGGUAAAUUUCUUCUAAAGCUAAAUAUUGGCCAGAGACCGAUAGCGCACAAGUAGAGUGAUCGAAAGAUGAAAAGCACUUUGGAAAGAGAGUCAAACAGCACGUGAAAUUGUUGAAAGGGAAGCGCUUGCAGCCAGACUUGCUUGCAGUUGCUCAUCCGGGCUUUUGCCCGGUGCACUCUUCUGUAGGCAGGCCAGCAUCAGUUUGGGCGGUGGGAUAAAGGUCUCUGUCACGUACCUCUCUUCGGGGAGGCCUUAUAGGGGAGACGACAUACCACCAGCCUAGACUGAGGUCCGCGCAUCUGCUAGGAUGCUGGCGUAAUGGCUGUAAGCGGCCCGUCUUGAAACACGGACCAAGGAGUCUAACAUCUAUGCGAGUGUUUGGGUGUCAAGCCCGAGCGCGUAAUGAAAGUGAACGGAGGUGGGAACCCGCAAGGGUGCACC
rnacentral:rRNA from 1 species